rnacentral:rRNA from 1 species
AGCAGCCGCGGUAAUUCCAGCUCCAAUAGCGUAUAUUAAAGUUGUUGCAGUUAAAAAGCUCGUAGUUGAACCUUAGGCCCGUGCGGGCGGUCCGUCCUCUGGGCGAGCACUGCCUCGUCGCGGGUCUCACCUUCUGGCGAGCGGGGAUGCCUUUCAUUAGGUGUCGUCGGGAACCAGGACCUUUACCUUGAAAAAUUAGAGUGCUCAAAGCGGGCUCUUACGCUUGAAUACAUUAGCAUGGAAUAAUGAAAUAGGACGACAGUUCUAUUUUGUUGGUUUCUGGAACGGUCGUAAUGAUUAAUAGGGAUAGUUGGGGGCAUUCGUAUUCAAUUGUCAGAGGUGAAAUUCUUGGAUUUAUUGAAGACGGACUACUGCGAAAGCAUUUGCCAAGGAUGUUUUCA